GCAAAAGGCUUGUUUUGUGCCAACAAAGUCAGAUGCUCAAGUGGUUGCUUUCAGAAAGUGGUUAAAGAAAUACUCAGAUGGUCAAAUUAACUGGGGAGAAAAGUUCAGUGGACUUCCCCCAUCUCCUCCAAAAGAGCAACUAAUGGACAGGUAAGUACUGAGUAGACUUAGAGCUUCAACUUUUAACAGUUUUUUGGCUUUUGAAUGAGAUAAUAGCUUCUUUUGCAGUGUCAUAAGGAAGAUAUUUUUUGCAAAAAUUGCCUUCUUAAUAGAUUCAACAAAAAGAUUUUUAUGCUUGGUGUCGGUGUACUAAUAUCAGAGCAUUAUUGUAAAAUUUUUCCUUUAUAGUCCGUGAGAUAAGCUAUAGAAUGUGGAAUAGCUCUUUCCAUUUCCCUUACCCCUGAAAUCAAGAUUUGAGCUUGAGACCUCACACUAGAGGUCCGAAUUUUCAUACCAUUAGGCUGUCCCCAUUUGGUGACAUUAUUGUGUUGAAUUGUUGACAAUUGCUGGAAAAGAAAUGAAAAUCGGAUCUUUUUACAGACACAGGAAAAGUAUGCAUCAAGUUGACACUUUAUGAUCAGAAAAAUGAACUUCUAUUGCUCCUUCUAUAAAAAUGUUUCAUUUAAAUAGAAAGAACUUGGUUCAUGAACAAGUAGAUUGAGCACAUUUGAAGUUUCUGCAUCUGGUUUUUCAGGUAUUGGUCACAUGUAGUGAACUGCAGCAGUUGCCGCGUUGCAUACAAGGGUCUCAAUGCACUUGAGGUUGUUCUGCAGGUCGUGUCCAUUGUUUCAAUCGGAAUUGUUGCUGCAACCAAGCAAACUGGGAUGUCUGCAGUUGCUAGAACUACACUUGUCUUGAUGGCGGUACUAUGCUUUGCAGCUUCAAGAUGGCUGGCUCACUUCAUUUACAAGAAUUUUCAUUUUCAUGACUACAACCAUGCCCUUCUCUGAAUCAUUGUUUCACAGAGUCCUCAACAUUGGGAACACUUGUAUUACACCCAGAUGGUCAAACAAAUUUUCAAAAAAUGCUAUUUAAAAUAAUAUUUUUUCUAAAAUACUAUGUAAGUUGGAUAAGACCCUGAAGUUUUUUAAUAGAAUCCAACUGGAUUUUGAUAAUUUAGUAAAGUCAGACCAAAUUCCACUGAACCUUAUCUGUGAAGCAGGGAAAUGGCCACCCUUUCUUGGCACAAAGGUUUUAGAAAGCUGAUUAGUUGAGCCCAAAACUGUGGCAGUGAAGCCAAUAAAAUGCAUUUAUUUAUAAAAUGCAUUUAUUUUGGAUGUAUGAAUGUAUUUUAUAAUUGUAUUUUAUUGCUCAAAUGAUUCAAUUGAACAUCAACUAAAAAUUGUGCAUUAAGUUGAAUAAAAUAGAACAUGAAGGGCG
rnacentral:misc_RNA from 1 species